rnacentral:tRNA from 1 species
GUCCCCUAUUGCCUACUUUUGAACCUCUGUCUGUUAAUCAGAGGGUCACUGGUUCAAGUCCAGUAGGGGGAGCA